GACGAACGCUGGCGGCGUGCUUAACACAUGCAAGUCGAACGGAAAGGCCCUGCUUUUGUGUGGUUCUCGAGUGGCGAACGGGUGAGUAACACGUGAGUAACCUGCCCUUGACUUUGGGAUAACUUCAGGAAACUGGGGCUAAUACCGCAUAGGAGCUCCUGCUGCAUGGUGGGGGUUGGAAAGUUUCGGCGGUUGGGGAUGGACUCGCGGCUUAUCAGCUUGUUUGUGGGGUAGUGGCUUACCAAGGCUUUGACGGGUAGCCGGCCUGGGAGGGUGACCAGCCACAUUGGGACUGAGAUACGGACCAGUAUCCUACGGGAGGCAGCAGUGGGGAAUAUUACACAGUGGGCGGAAGCCUGAUGCAGCAACGCUGCGUGCGGGAUGACGGCCUUCGGGUUGUAAACCGCUUUCGCCUGUGACGAAGCGUGAGUGACGGUAAUGGGUAAAGAAGCACCGGCUAACUACGUG
rnacentral:rRNA from 1 species